GGAGAGGUCGCAUAGCCCGGUCUAGUGCGCCGCACUCGAAAUGCGGUGAGGUGUCACAGCCUCCGUGGGUUCGAAUCCCACCCUCUCCGCCA
rnacentral:tRNA from 1 species